rfam:Triticum urartu cultivar G1812 contig1042704, whole genome shotgun sequence.
AUAGUACUCCCUCCGUCCGGAAAUACUUGUCAUCAAAAUGGAUAAAAGGAGAUGUAUCUAGUUGUACUUUAGUACUAGGUACAUCCCUUUUUAUCAAUUUUGAUGACAAGUAUUUUCGGAUGGAGGGAGUAUAGA